GCAAGCGAAUCUGACUCCAAAAAGGCCUG
rnacentral:sRNA from 1 species